ACUAGUAAAUUUCUUUAAAGCAUCUUGAAAACUCUUGUUUUCUGAUAAUUUCAAAGCUUUCUUUAUUUUCCUUCCAUAUUUAGCUUUUGUCUCGGUCAGUUUUUGAAUUUUCCUCUGAAGGACAUUUAAUUGUUUAGGCACCUGAGUCUUCUUAGGACGAGGAGCUUUCAAAUCUGCAAUCAAAGAAGAUAUAUGUAAUGUUGUCAAUGAUCGGUAGAUCUAACAGCAAUUCUAAUGUUAUGUAUUAUAAUCAGCAUCCUGACAUACCCUACCUAUGUAAGCUACUUAUUUUAAAUAAUAUUUAUAAUUUUAUAAAAUUAUUGACUGGGUCCUCUCAAAUAAUUAUAAUUAUAGUUUUAGAAAUCAUGCCAUCACCACUCUAGAGCAAAUACUACUCACAUUGAGAUUCUAUGCUACCGGCACCAUGGAACAGUGCUCUGGUGAUUUCUUCGGAAUUCCAAAAUCAGCAGCAUGUAAAAUAAUUCACCUGGUGUCAAGAGUGAUUAGCACAAAAUUAAAUUAUUUAAUUUCGAUGCCACGUACAACAGAAGAAAAAAGGGAAGUUGUAAAAAAGUUCUACUCUAUAGCAAAAUUCCCGAGUGUUGUUGAUUUCCAAUUGAUUGCACACAUAUACACAUACUAAGUCCAGGCGGUGAAAAUGCUGAGUUGUACAGAAAUAGAAAGGAUAUAUUUUCUACAAACACCCAAGUUGUUACUGACGCUGAUCUCAAGAUAAGGGAUAUUGUAGCACGAUGGCCAGGCUCCGUACAUGACAGCAACAUUUUUAAUAAUAGCCGGUGUAGUAGGAUAAUUAAUAAUAUAUAGUUCUUAAAUGUGUGGUAAUUAAUAUUGUUCUUAAAUGCACUCACCGGGAUAAAUAAGCACAAUUAAACUUAGUUAAUUGAUGUCACAUUGCACUAUAACUUGGGUAAACACAUCGCUACAAACAUAUGAACACAGAAGGUGCACAGGCGAAAGUUCUAAGCACAGAGAAGGUUAGCAAAUUUAUUCGUAGAUAGUAAGCCAAUAAAAAUAUAAGUAAUACUAAAGCAAAAGAUUUUACAAAGG
rnacentral:misc_RNA from 1 species